rnacentral:rRNA from 1 species
AUGAACGCUGGCGGCGUGCCUAAUACAUGCAAGUCGAGCGAACAGACGAGGAGCUUGCUCCUCUGACGUUAGCGGCGGACGGGUGAGUAACACGUGGAUAACCUACCUAUAAGACUGGGAUAACUUCGGGAAACCGGAGCUAAUACCGGAUAAUAUAUUGAACCGCAUGGUUCAAUAGUGAAAGACGGUUUUGCUGUCACUUAUAGAUGGAUCCGCGCCGCAUUAGCUAGUUGGUAAGGUAACGGCUUACCAAGGCAACGAUGCGUAGCCGACCUGAGAGGGUGAUCAGCCACACUGGAACUGAGACACGGUCCAGACUCCUACGGGAGGCAGCAGUAGGGAAUCUUCCGCAAUGGGCGAAAGCUUGACGGAGCAACGCCGCGUGAGUGAUGAAGGUCUUCGGAUCGUAAAACUCUGUUAUUAGGGAAGAACAAAUGUGUAAGUAACUAUGCACGUCUUGACGGUACCUAAUCAGAAAGCCACGGCUAACUACGUG